GGAGACGUGGUGCAGCGGCCUAGCACACUGGCCUGUCAAGCCUGAGAUCGCGGGUUCGAAUCCCGUCGUCUCCGCCA
rnacentral:tRNA from 1 species